rnacentral:rRNA from 1 species
UACGUAGGGGGCGAGCGUUGUCCGGAUUCAUUGGGCGUAAAGCGCUUUAAGGCGGUUCGGUAAGUCGCGUGUGAAACCUCCAGGCUCAACCUCGAGACGCCGAUGGAAACCAUCAGACUAGAGUCCGGAAGAGGAGAGUGGAAUUCCUGGUGUAGCGGUGAAAUGCGCAGAUAUCAGGAAGAACACCCGUGGCUAAGGCGGCUCUCUAGUACGGUACUGACGCUGAGACGCGAAAGCGUGGGGAGCGAACAGG